rnacentral:rRNA from 1 species
UACGUAGGGUGCAAGCGUUAAUCGGAAUUACUGGGCGUAAAGCGUGCGCAGGCGGCUUUGCAAGACAGAUGUGAAAUCCCCGGGCUUAACCUGGGAACUGCAUUUGUGACUGCAUGGCUGGAGUGCGGCAGAGGGGGAUGGAAUUCCGCGUGUAGCAGUGAAAUGCGUAGAUAUGCGGAGGAACACCGGAUGGCGAAGGCAAUCCCC